rnacentral:misc_RNA from 1 species
AGGAAGAGGAGGAAGAAGAGGAAGUGGCAUUGCUAGUUUGCCAAAAGGGCAUCUUACAAAGAGUCCAAACCUUCCUUUCACUCUCUUGUUUCUCUCCAUUAAGAUCCAUAUUCCCUUGAGUUUUAAAAAGAUGAAAUUUGUUUGUGUUUUAAAAUAGAUUUUCUUUUUUGAUUUUUGUGUUUGAAAGAGGUGUGCUGUGGUGGUGAAAGUGAAAGAUGCCAUACACAGGCAACGUAUGUAGUGUGCGUUGGAUCUCAAAGUACGGUAUUUCGGUGGAUUUCAUUGGUCUAUUUGAGGUCCGCUCAUGCUUGGAU